CGGACAUUUAAAACACUGAGAGAAACAUUGACAAAGGGGUUCUUGUGAAUACUCGGAUCAGAAUCUGUGCUGUCCAUAGAGGACCCCACUGUUGGCAUGGUGAUCCAAAUGGCUUAUGGGAAGAAAGGUAUGGGCUAGACUCCCUGAGAAGCGAGGGUACCCUGGGACUGCUGGGGAAAAGAAAUAAAGGGCAGGAAAAAGACAGGAACAACUUGGACUUGAUAAGAACAACAUCUGGAGAGGGAAACACACAGACAGAACAGACAGAUGAUCAGAUGAAUGAUAAUAA